rnacentral:miRNA from 1 species
GCAGACACAUUCCAGCCAAUCAGCAGCAGACCCUCCCUCCCAGACCCUCCCACCUCCUGGACAGCAUCACUUAAUUCAUUUCAAGCUGCAUUCUUAGUGAGCUGUCCAGGAGGUGGGAGGGUCUGGGAGGGAGGGUCUGCUGCUGAUUGGCUGGAAUGUGUCUG